AGUGAACGCUGGCGGUAGGCCUAACACAUGCAAGUCGAACGGCAGCACAGUAAGAGCUUGCUCUUACGGGUGGCGAGUGGCGGACGGGUGAGGAAUACAUCGGAAUCUACUUUUUCGUGGGGGAUAACGUAGGGAAACUUACGCUAAUACCGCAUACGACCUACGGGUGAAAGCAGGGGAUCUUCGGACCUUGCGCGAUUGAAUGAGCCGAUGUCGGAUUAGCUAGUUGGCGGGGUAAAGGCCCACCAAGGCGACGAUCCGUAGCUGGUCUGAGAGGAUGAUCAGCCACACUGGAACUGAGACACGGUCCAGACUCCUACGGGAGGCAGCAGUGGGGAAUAUUGGACAAUGGGCGCAAGCCUGAUCCAGCCAUACCGCGUGGGUGAAGAAGGCCUUCGGGUUGUAAAGCCCUUUUGUUGGGAAAGAAAAGCAGCAGGUUAAUACCCCGCUGUUCUGACGGUACCCAAAGAAGAAGCACCGGCUAACUGCGU
rnacentral:rRNA from 1 species